CUGCACUGUACGUAACUUGCUUCCAGCUCUCUCCUGGCUGUGGGUUCCAUUCCAGUGCUAGAUUAUACCUGGUUGGGGGGUGCAUGUGGCAGGUACUGUCCUGUCAUUUCCCCUAGAGGCCAGGGACAUGC